AUCUGCAGGGUUGAAAUGAGAUGUUUUGAGCUCUUCAAGCUGACUCAUCAGAAUCCAGGAGCCUAGUGAAAAUGAUGCACUACUCCCUGUGGCAGGAGGAAACAAAACAACAAUACAACAACAACAAAUACAACAACACAACCCAGAAAUACCUGAAGGACAUGAGAAGUGGGACGCUUUCCCCAGGAUACAGUUACUCCCUCCUACCUAGCUCUCUUCACUACUGAUGAUGGUGACUGAUGGAAAUUCUGGAAAUCGAAACUGAGGCUUGAAAAUUUCGGACCAUCUCUUUGAAAAUGUUUCCUAUGGCGGAAAAUCUCAGAUGGCCACAAGAUGGUACACCACCUUUAAUAUUAUGUCUUUCUUCACUGAAUCCAAACCUAGGCUAAAAGGGAGCCAAACAGGAUGUGAUGCCAGGAAGAUCCAGGGUUGGAGCCAGCAGAAUGUACACCACUUCCCCAUACCUAUGGUUGAGCUGGAUCCAGCAAGAUUCCUGCAAUUAAGCACUGCCUGUCAGGUAAGACAAACUCACACUGUCUACUAAGAUAGACUGGUCAAUUUCA
rnacentral:lncRNA from 1 species